UCCUUGAUGGUCAAGUGACUAAGACUCUGCGCUCCAAAUGCAGGGGGUCAGGGUCCAACCCCUGGUCAGGGAA
rnacentral:tRNA from 1 species